UCAUUCUACCAGCAUCCCAUAGGUCUUUGUGAGUACCCAUUAGGCUCUUUUCUUGGGCAUGCCAUGUCGAGUAUGAAUGUUACCAUGUUAAUGUAUCAGUGCACAGAAUAUUUUUAUUUAUUUACUUAUUUCCCAGGCAUUCAUAUGGAAAUCUUGUUGGACACAAGGAGGAAACUAUGAAGACCCUGGAUGCUAGAGGUAGACCAAGGAGAGUUCUCCAGAGAACAUCGCCAUCACCGGACUGCGCUGCGUCUUUCCUAGAACCCGCAACCUACCUAUCCCUUUAUUUGUAAGUUAUGCCACUAAAUAAAUCUCCCUUUUAACUAC